ACACACAGAGUUAUGGUAGAUAAGGGAGAGAUUUUAGGGUCACUGGCAAUAGAUAAUGGAAAGAAACUUAGACAGUGCCUGCCUGGGAACUCUGAGCCUGAAGUUAGUCCACAUCCUACCCACAAGUAGACCUUUUUGGCAGAUAAUUUAAGACCAAGUCCUCAGGUAGCCUGCUACUUUGAGGUCGGUUCUGAGCUCUACUUCUCUUGCACUUAAGAAUCUCAGUAUAUAAAGGCUCUGAAUGUAGGUUGUUAAACAACGAAUCAUUUUAAGAUAAAGAGGAAAAGGUUCAUUUUUCUUUGCAACAUAGCUUGGUCACAAUUACAAGCAUGGAAAUUGAAAAAAAAAAGUCUAAAGUGGCUCCCUAAAUUACAAUACUAUUUCACAACUUGUCUUGUUUGGC